AUGUGAAUCACCUGGGGUCUUGAAUAAAAAUGCAGAUUCUGGUUCAGUUUGUCAAAGGUGAUGCCUGAGAUUCUGCAUUGCUACCAUUUCCCAAGUGGUUUCAAU
rnacentral:miRNA from 1 species